rnacentral:rRNA from 1 species
AAACUCAAAUGAAUUGACGGGGACCCGCACAAGCGGUGGAUGAUGUGGUUUAAUUCGAUGCAACGCGAAAAACCUUACCCACCUUUGACAUGUACGGAAUCCUUUAGAGAUAGAGGAGUGCUCGAAAGAGAGCCGUAACACAGGUGCUGCAUGGCUGUCGUCAGCUCGUGUCGUGAGAUGUUGGGUUAAGUCCCGCAACGAGCGCAACCCUUGCCAUUAGUUGCUACGAAAGGGCACUCUAAUGGGACUGCCGGUGACAAACCGGAGGAAGGUGGGGAUGACGUCAAGUCCUCAUGGCCCUUAUAGGUGGGGCUACACACGUCAUACAAUGGCUGGUACAGAGGGUUGCCAACCCGCGAGGGGGAGCUAAUCCCACAAAGCCAGUCGUAGUCCGGAUCGCAGUCUGCAACUCGACUGCGUGAAGUCGGAAUCGCUAGUAAUCGCGGAUCAGAAUGUCGCGGUGAAUACGUUCCCGGGUCUUGUACACACCGCCCGUCACACCAUGGGAGCGGGUUCUGCCAGAAGUAGUUAGCCUAACCGCAAGGAGGGCGAUUACCACGGCAGGGUUCGUGACUGGGGUGAAGUCGUAACAAGGUAGCCGUAUCGGAAGGUGCGGCUGGAUCACCUCCUUUAUGAG